AGCGAACGCUGGCGGCAGGCCUAACACAUGCAAGUCGAACGAACCUUUCGGGGUUAGUGGCGGACGGGUGAGUAACACGUGGGAACGUGCCUUUAGGUUCGGAAUAACUCAGGGAAACUUGUGCUAAUACCGAAUGUGCCCUUCGGGGGAAAGAUUUAUCGCCUUUAGAGCGGCCCGCGUCUGAUUAGCUAGUUGGUUGAGGUAAUGGCUCACCAAGGCGACGAUCAGUAGCUGGUCUGAGAGGAUGAUCAGCCACAUUGGAACUGAGACACGGCCCAAACUCCUACGGGAGGCAGCAGUGGGGAAUCUUGCGCAAUGGGCGAAAGCCUGACGCAGCCAUGCCGCGUGAAUGAUGAAGGUCUUAGGAUUGUAAAAUUCUUUCACCGGGGACGAUAAUGACGGUACCCGGAGAAGAAGCCCCGGCUAACUUCGUG
rnacentral:rRNA from 1 species